rnacentral:rRNA from 1 species
ACUCCUACGGGAGGCAGCAGUAGGGAAUCUUCGGCAAUGGACGGAAGUCUGACCGAGCAACGCCGCGUGAGUGAAGAAGGUUUUCGGAUCGUAAAGCUCUGUUGUAAGAGAAGAACGAGUGUGAGAGUGGAAAGUUCACACUGUGACGGUAACUUACCAGAAAGGGACGGCUAACUACGUGCCAGCAGCCGCGGUAAUAC